rnacentral:rRNA from 1 species
UACGUAGGGGGCUAGCGUUGUCCGGAUUUAUUGGGCGUAAAGAGCGUGUAGGCGGCCAGGUAGGUCUGCUGUGAAAACUCGAGGCUCAACCUCGAGACGUCGGCGGAAACCAUCUGGCUAGAGUCCGGAAGAGGAGAGUGGAAUUCCUGGUGUAGCGGUGGAAUGCGCAGAUAUCAGGAAGAACACCCGUGGCGAAGGCGGCUCUCUGGGACGGUACUGACGCUGAGACGCGAAAGCGUGGGGAGCGAACCGG